GGUGUACUCCCUCCGUUCCAUAAUUCUUGUCUCAAAUUUGACAAAAAAUGGCUGUAUCUAUUCCUAAAAAGUGUCUAGAUACAUGUAAUAUUUCGACAAGAAUUAUGAAAUGGAGGGAGUAAGUU
rfam:Brachypodium distachyon strain Bd21 chromosome 2, whole genome shotgun sequence.